rnacentral:lncRNA from 1 species
GAGGGGUCCACCCAGGCUUGAGGGUAGCAGGGAACAGACGUACAGAGGCACUGGAGACUCAGCUCUGCCGGUCGGCCUGUGGGUCCUCUUGCCCCGACGCGUUCCCCACCCAGCUCUAGAACCCUCCGUCACCCCAGUACGGUGGUCUGCGACGCUCGCCUGCAGCGGAAGCGCGGCGUGCCAUCCCCCCGCUGUGUCAGCCACUCCCCCUCGACAGCCAACCCCCCCCCUCUUCGGCGCGGGCCCCCGGCCCCCGCCCUCUGCACCACACGCCCACGCCGCCCCGACCCCGCGGGGGACCCCAGUUUCCCGGCCCCGGGCUUCCCAUCCCCGCCUCCGGCGCG